AAUAUUAAAAUUGCAAAAAAAUCGCUCGAAAGCCACAAAAAUCACAGCCAAAAUGCACAAAAGAAUAUUUUAGCUGAAAAUGCAGUGGACGGACUAUUAAUAUAUAUAAAAAAUUCAAUUCCGUUUUUUCGGGAAUUUAUUUCCCGCUCCGCCCAUCAAUAACCGGAAGAUUUUUGAUGAACUUGCCAAAGUUUAUUAAAAAAAAGAAGGACAAUAGAGGACAUUCCAACUCCCUCCGACUGUAGCCAGUUAGUCAGCUGAUAUUUUAUUCAUUUCAUUUCGAUAUUGAGCCACAAAAGCGCAUAAAAAAGGGGCGAGUGUGAAAAGUGCGAGGGAAGUGGCCAAUUUUUAGUUAUUGCAAGCGAUCGGCCAAGUGUGAAAAUAGUUUUUAGCCAAGUUUUUCUCAUUCAUGAAACAAUAGAAACGAAAAAUGUUGGGAAAAUAAAGACUAUUUCAAUAUUUUUCCCUCUUGAAUGUAUGACUAGGACUAGUACUCUUAGAAAAAGCUUCUAAAAACAAGCUUUCUAACUCGUUCGAAUUAACUUUUCCCUGUAAAGCACUCUUACUUAGAGAUAAAGUAAGCUGUCUUAAUCAGUCUGGCUUACUACCAAGAAACGAUAGUAUGUCGGUUACUGACACUGUUACUGGCAGCUUUUAACUUGGCCUAAAGGCAACUUGGCCUGUCAAAAGUUUUUGGGGCAGAGCGUCAAUGCUAUCGUCAUUUUGCUUUGACUGCGCACAUGAUUAUUACACGCGCUCACCCACGCCCACCCCCAUCAGAUCCAGACCCACAGCCCACACCUAGCACACAUCCACACCCACACCCACACACUGAUAGACAGACACAUGCAAACUUUGAACCGAAAAACUUGCCGCAAAAAGUUUUUAAGUAAACGGAGAGGAGGAAGCCGCAAAGGCUAAAACACAUCCUGAUUAUGGCAGACAAAAAGGAUGACACUGGAAGCCAUGUGGAGGGAUGUCCUUGUCUCUUGAAAGGCAAGUGCACUUGCAAGGCCCCCAAGAAGGACAGGGUGGUCUUGAAUCCCUAAGAGUACGAUCGCUUGAUGGCCACCAAUGAGGGUCUUGCCAAUUUGAAGAGAAUGAUGCGGCUGGAAGCCGGUCUAGGUGAACCCGACGAUGUAAUCAUCAUCGAGGGCUCCGAUCUUGAAUACUAAACUAUAUGCUGCGAAACCCAAGACACACCACAAAUAGUAUAUGAUCUUCUACCUUUAAUAAUAGUUUUUACAAUGAAAUACUGGUACCUCGAUUACUAAACAAGUUGCUGCCAAAAACACGAUAAAUAGGAAUGAAGUGCUUCAAAAUUUUCAAGUUCAAAGCACACCACGAGUAGGUAUUGAUCUUCUGCCUUCAAAAAUACUUUUUACAAUGAAAGACUGGUAACUCUAUUUCUAAACUACUUACUGCCAUAAAGAUGAAUAGGAAUCGGUGUAUCCUUUAUCUUAAAACACUGUAUCUACAGUGAAACACAAGUAUCCGGUUCUUGCAAGCUCACGAUGAAUAGCUAUGGAUCUUCCGCCUUCAAAAACUGUUUCUAUAUGGAGACACUAGUAUACAUACUAUAUUUUGUAAGCAUGUUUUGGACUGCUGCUUGAAAAUAAAGCUCUUGUGACAAAGGAGAAAGACUACACUA